UAUAACUAAAUAUGGCCGAAGAAACUUCAUUAGAGCAAGAAGCAUUGAAACGGCGAGAAAAGCUAAAAGCAUUGAGGGAGAAGAGUGCUGCUGCUGCUGAGGGAGGUCGUGGUGAAAAGAGAGGAGUCAGUGACAGCUCAACAGAAAGCGAAUCUGCUGUGAAAGUUAUAAAAUUUAGAAACUACCAACCAAAAGAUGAAGCACUAAAGGAGCAAAAACUUUCUGGGGCCAAACCACUUUCAGUGGAACAAGAAGUGAAAGAACAUGUUGAAAAAGGAAAAUCUGAUGUUGUAAAUGAAGUGGACUUAAGUAAUCUUGCACCCCGAAAACCCGAUUGGGAUUUAAAACGUGACGUUGCCAAGAAAUUAGAAAAAUUAGAGAGGCGCACUCAACGGGCAAUCAUUGAAUUGAUACGUUCACGUCUUCAGGAGGAAGGUAAUCUUGCCGAAGUUGUAAGUGCCGUUACAACUGAACAAGGAUUUGACGCUGAAUAAAUCAAGUUCUUGUUGAGUGAGCUGCACAAGCUUUCGGGUAAACACUUGGUAUUGGAGAAACAGAAGUUGACACCAUGCGAUGAAACGGAUUUGAAUGUCCUGACUAACUGCAUGUUAUAAAUUCACUCGCUGUCUUUGUGUAGUAAAAACAUUGUUUUAUUGAAGAAUAACAAGAAAGAAAUAAUGAAUCAAUUUUUAUUACAUUGCUUUCCCAUUUUAUCUGUAAGCAUUCUAUAACAAUCUUCUUUAUAAAGCCAUGAAAAUAAUAUUUCAUACACAUUACUUUGUAUUAUAUAAAUCGCGUAUGA